rnacentral:rRNA from 1 species
AGCGAACGCUGGCGGCAGGCUUAAUACAUGCAAGUCGAGCGCCUGUAGCAAUACAGGAGCGGCAGACGGGAGAGUAACACGUGGGAACGUGCCCUUUGGUUCGGAACAACACAGGGAAACUUGUGCUAAUACCGGAUAAGCCCUUACGGGGAAAGAUUUAUCGCCAAAGGAUCGGCCCGCGUCUGAUUAGCUAGUUGGUGGGGUAAUGGCCCACCAAGGCGACGAUCAGUAGCUGGUCUGAGAGGAUGAUCAGCCUCAUUGGGACUGAGACACGGCCCAAACUCCUACGGGAGGCAGCAGUGGGGAAUAUUGGACAAUGGGCGAAAGCCUGAUCCAGCCAUGCCGCGUGAGUGAUGAAGGCCUUAGGGUUGU